rnacentral:rRNA from 1 species
ACGGGAGGCAGCAGUGAGGAAUAUUGGUCAAUGGGCGGAAGCCUGAACCAGCCAUCUCGCGUGCAGGACUACGGCCCUACGGGUCUUAAACUGCUUUUAUGGGGGGAUAAAGUCGGGCAUUCGUGUCCGUUUGCAGGUACCCCAUGAAUAAGGAUCGGCUAACUCCGUGCCAGCAGCCGCGGUAAUACGGAGGAUCCGAGCGUUAUCCGGAUUUAUUGGGUUUAAAGGGUGCGCAGGCGGCACGUUAAGUCAGCGGUGAAAUGCAGGGGCUCAACCCCGGCACUGCCGUUGAAACUGGCGAGCUCGAGUACGGAUGAAGUCGGCGGAAUGUGAUGUGUAGCGGUGAAAUGCUUAGAUAUGUCACAGAACACCGAUUGCGAAGGCAGCUGACUAAUCCGCAACUGACGCUCAGGCACGAAAGCGUGGGGAUCGAACAGGAUUAGAUACCCUGGUA